rfam:Neotoma lepida isolate 417 scaffold_110, whole genome shotgun sequence.
GGAGAGGUGGCUCAGUGGUUAAGAGCACUGGCUGCUCUUCCAGAGGUCCUGAGUUCAAUUCCCAGCAACCACA